rnacentral:lncRNA from 10 species
CGCCUUCAGGAAGGUCUUUUUAGCAGGGGCCUUACGGGUGCGCGCUUCGGUCCUGGAGGCCUUAUCCUAGCCUCCUCUCUCCAUCAGCGCCACCCGUCUGGGGCCCAAAAGGAGGGAGCUUUACCUCUGUCCCCCAGCCUUUGGAGUGUCACCAAACAAGCCAUUCGUUCACCAAAUACUUAUUAAGUGCCUGACAACGGAGAUGUAACGCUGUUGUUCCCCACCAGAACCAAAUGAGCGCAAGAUCUGACAAAGAAAAAAAAAGUCCCUGUAGCCUGAGAUGGAGUCACGUGAGAAUCCACAGCAAGUCCUAACCAGGGAUGGGUCUGGGUGAUUAAGGAAGGUUGGCUUCAGAACUGGGCCAGGGGCACUGCUUUGCUUUUGCUGUUUUGAUCAGCUCUCUGCCUGCAGGAGACAAGGAAAAUCAAUGGGAACAGAAAUUGCCUGUUUGCUCCACUCUGGUUGAAGAAACCAGUCUGACUGUCUCUGAGGCUAUGGAGCAGUCCAUCAAGAAUGAAAGCCCUCUGCCAGGCACGUUGGCUCACACCUGUAAUACCAGCACUUUGGGAGGCCGAGGCAGGUGGAUCACUUGAGGUCAGGAGUUCGACACCAGCAUGGCCAACAUGGUGAAACCCUGUCUCUACAGAAAAUAAUACUUUGCAAGGCCUCAGAAACUCUGCUAUCCACAGGCAGGUCUUACAGUCAUGGCUGGCUCCUCUCUCUGAGAACUGGGACUCCUGAACUUGGUGAAAUACCUCAGCCAUCGAUCAUGUUAAAUUAUCGGGGACACUCAUUAAAAAUGUGAGUCUGCUCCAGAUGGACUCUCUCUCUUUCUGCCCUGACCGUGAGGGAGACCGUGAGAGAGAGAGACCGUGAGAGAGAGAAACCGUGAGAGAGACCAUCAGAGAGAGAAAGAGAGACCGUGCCCUGACCUGCUGGACAGUGGAGAUGCUUGUGGGCUGUGAGCAACAGAUGCAAGGGCUGCCGGGAAUCCCAUCUUUCCAGCAUCAUCUGCCAAGGCACAUCAGUUCCUGGGUGUCUUGAUGGGUUCUGGCAGCAUUACUGUCAUUGAAGGAAAACAUUUUAGCCAUAUUAAAGGUGAACUCAGCAAUCCCCACACAGCCUGCCUGGAAGGGACGCGGGACAAGGGUAGGUUCUCCCUGUGAUGGACAGGAGGCAGGCGACCCUCCCACAGCCCUACCUGGCAAUGCAGAUGUGUCCCCAAAAGGCACUGGGGGCAGCUGGAGUGCUGUGCCUAGGCGGGCUCACCCGGGCAGCGGUUCGCUCUGAUUGCAGUGGUUUCCCACCAGCUCCUUGGAGAGCUGGCAGAUGACCCAGCCCCACAGCAGGAGCCGGGAAUGGCAGAACGAGAUACAACAAUUUGAUAUCCACUUGCCAGAUGAGCCGGGUGUCCUCAGUCGCCUGGCUCUGUGCCCAACCUCUUUUUACAUAAACACUUAUGAAUUGAGCCAGGAGGAAAAGCACUCUGAUUAUGAAUUGAGCAGAAGGAAACAAAGUUCUGCAGAUAAACACCAAUGAAACAAAAAACCACGAAUAAGAAAAAUGACAGAAAAGGAGAACCUUCCCAGAAGCCUCCUGCCAGUGAACGGUCACCAGAGCAAGAGCAUGGAGGCCCUGGGUUUUGAACUGUGAGAUAAGGAAGAUGAUGAAAACCUCCCUAGCAGCCAGGCAAGCACAAGAUUCCUGUGAAAUCCAGGUCUAAGUGUUUUGACAACAGAAGUAAUAUUAUGUCAUAGGUGAGAGCUGUGAGUUGCUGAACCCAAAGUGAGUUCAAAUCCGAGCUCUGCCUCCUGCUACCUGUGUGACUUUGAGAAGUUCCAGCACUGCUUUGUGCCUCAGUUUUGUCAUCUGUUAAAUGGGCGUAAUCACAGCUCCUGCCUCAGAGUUGUUGUAAAUUAAUACAUGUAAAGCACUGAAAUCAGCCUGGUAUAUAGUAAGUGUUAUGAACGUUAUUUUCUUGGAAGGACAGAACUUAUUUUCAUGGUCUAAUCCUGAAAGUCUAAAAAAUGUGAGAGAAGAGGAAAGAAUCUAGAGUCUCACCAUGAGGGGGAAAAGUCAACUUGAAGCAGGACAGGGUCAUUGACAAUUUCCUGUGAUUCCACAGCUGCCUUGUACACUAUGGUAGCUCCUAGCCACUCGUUGUUUAGAUUUUGUGAUUUAGAAAUGAAUUAAGGCCGGGCAUGGUGGCACACCUGUAAUCCCAGCAUUUUGGGAAGCCAAGUUGGGCAGAUCACCUGAGGUCAGGCGUUCAAGAUCAGCCUGGCCAACAUGGUGAAAUCUCGUCUCUACAAAAAUACAAAAAUUAGCCGGGCAUGAUGGUGGGUUCUUGUAAUCCUGGCUACUCAGGAGGCUGAAGCAGGAGAAUUGCUUGAACCUGGGAGAUGGAGGUUGUAGUGAGACGAGAUUGCACCACUGCAUUCCAGCCUGGAGGAGAGAGUGAGACUCUGUCUCAAAAAAAAAUUUAGUUAAGAGAAAAUUGAAAAUUCAGUUCUUCAUUCUCACCAGCCACAUUUCAAGGGCUCAUCAGCCCAUGUGGAUGUCUAGCAGCUCCCAUGUUGGAUAGUGCAGAGUAGAGCAAGUCCGCCAUUGCAGAAUGUUUGAUUGGACCAUGACUGAAUAGUCUAUUGCAGUGGUCCCCAAUUUUUUUUAGCACCAAGGACCAGUUUCCAUGUAUUUGUGGGGGGAAGUUUCAGGAUGAUUCAAGUGCAUUACAUUUAUUGUGUACUUUGUUUCUAUUGUUAUUAACAUUAUAAUAUAUAAUGAAAUCAUUAUACAACUCACCAUAAUGUAGAAUCAGUGGGAGCCCUGCGCUUGUUUUCCUGCAGCUAGAUAACCCCUUCUCCAGGUGGUGGGAGACAGUGACAGAUCAUCAGGCAUUAGAUUCUCAUAAGGAGCACACAACCUAGAUCCCUUCCACAGGCAGUUCACAAUAGGGUUGGUGCUCCUAUCAGAAUCUAAUGCCGCUGCUGAUCUAACAAGAGGCAGAGCUCAGGCGGUAAUGCUAGCCAUGGGGAGCAGCUGUAAAUACAGAUGAAGCUUCACUCACUAGCCCACUGCUCACCUCCUUCUGUGCAGCCCAGUUCCUAACAGGCCACAGACCACUACUGGUCUGUGGUCUGGGGGAUGGGGACCUCUGGUCUAUUGGAUAACACUGGCUUGGAGGGUACUGAUCAUCCAAAGAAGCGCUGAGAUGAUUUGGCCUCCAUUAAUAAGAAUGAUGGACUUUUUUUUUUUUUUGAGACAGAGUUUUGCUCUUGUUGCCCAUGCUGGAGUGCAGUGGCACAAUUUCGGCUCACUGCAACCUCUGCCUCCCAGGUUCAAGAGAUUCUCAUGCCUCAGCCUCCCAAGUAGCUGGGAUUACAGGUGCCUGCCACCAUGCCUGGCUAAUUUUUGUAUUUUUAGUAGAGUCGGGGUUUUGCCAUGUUGACCAGGCUGGUCUUGAAUUCCUGACCUCAAGUGAUCCACCUGCCUCGGUCUCCCGAAGUGCUGGGAUUACAGGCGUGAGACACCGUGCCUGGCCAGAUGGACUUUUUUUGAACAUUUAGUUCCAAGCACCUUCCCUGCAUUUUCUCAGUUAAUCCUCCCAGUGACUCUGAAGCAGGGACUAUGACAAUCUUCAUUUCACAGAUGGGGCAACUCAGGCACAGAGAGGAAGUCAAUGGCCACGGUCGCCCAGCUGAGGAAGGAUGGAGCCGGCUGAGAUCCUGUUCUGGGGAUCUAACUCUGCAGCCUGCAUUCUGGGCUGCUGUAUUCUCCCAUGUUGCUAUCUGACGAGCACAGCAUGGGCUCAGAGUACAGAGAGGAGACACCAGCUAAUAAGGAUAGGUCUGGGGUGAAGGCUGGUGCCUUGGGGAAGAAGAGAGAUGCCCCAUUCUAAAGGGAUGCCGUUGGAAGCUCAUAGUGAUAAAGCAAAGCCAACAGGUUUUGGGGCUGGGAGUUAAGCACACAGCUCUGGUUUCUGCCUUUUCACAGUGGUGAUGAAUGGGCACUGAGACCCUCUCAAGCUAAAGUUGUCAUCACUGCUCUUCAUAGUCUGAAGGUGCAUGAAAUGGUCAACUUUCUUCCAAAGGGCUUUUAUGCCUAAGUCUGAGGUUAGUGUAUAAACAGAUAUUUACUGAAGUCCUGCUGGGUGCAGACACCGUGGCCAGCCCUGAGGCUACAGUCGAGAUGAAGCCAGUCUCUGUCCUCAUGAAGACCUGUCUAUUGAUAAGAAAAGAGAAAGCUCACUGAGCAUUGACCCUGUGCCCACUGCUUUUGGUGCAUCUCUCAUUUAAUCCUUCUAUCAAAUCUGUGAAAUAAACACAUCACCAUCAUCCCUAUUUCACAUUUAGGGAAACAUAUGCUUAGAGAGGGUAAGUAACUUGGUCAAGGUCACACAGCUUCGAACUCUCCUCCCACAGGCGCAGGAAUGAGAUGCAGCAGCUGGGGAAGCCAGGGUCUCUGGCAGUCCUUGUCUCUGGGCAGUGAUCCAGAGAGAGAACACGAUUGUCUCAGCACUGGAUCUUCUUCUGAGUCGUUUUGAAGGAGCAAUUGCAGAGCGUCUCGGUGUUAAACAUCAUGUUGUGAAUGACUCCGUGAUCUCUGACCCAGUGUCCUUGGGGAUAAAGGAGGGGAG